rnacentral:rRNA from 1 species
GACGAACGCUGGCGGCGUGCUUAACACAUGCAAGUCGAGCGGUAAGGCCCUUUCGGGGUACGACGAGCGGCGAACGGGUAGGAGUAACACGUGGGUGGACCUCGCCCUCCAGCUCUGGGAGUAAGCCGUCGGGAAACCGGGGUACCUAAUAACUGGAUAUGACUCCAUGACGCAUGUUGUGGGGUGGAAAGCCUUGUGCGGCUGAGGA